rnacentral:rRNA from 1 species
GCAGCCGCCGCGGGAAUACGAAGGGUGCAAGCGUUACUCGGAAUUACUGGGCGUAAAGCGUGCGUAGGUGGUGGUUUAAGUCCGUUGUGAAAGCCCUGGGCUCAACCUGGGAAUUGCAGUGGAUACUGGAUCACUAGAGUGUGGUAGAGGAUAGUGGAAUUUCCGGUGUAGCAGUGAAAUGCGUAGAGAUCGGGAGGAACAUCAGUGGCGAAGGCGGCCAUCUGGGACAACACUGACGCUGAGGCACGAAAGCGUGGGGAGCAAACAGGAUUAGAUACCCCUGUAGUCCCUGUCUCUUAUAC